CUUGCCGUCUCUGAACGCGACGGCCAAUUCAGUUAAUUUCACACCUCAGUGUCAAGAGGAUGGCAUAGAGAGAGCCAUAUAAUAUAAAGUAAGACGAUUUUGUGCCAGAAGGGUCUACUCAUUGUGAGAUUCUAUUUUUUCUCUUCAUUUUUCUUAGCCCAGGCCGAGGUGCACCAUUCAGUGCGAAGGAGAAUCCCAGAGAGAAGUUAUGGUUUCUUUUCCCUCUUGCAACAAGUAGAGUCUACUCUCACAAUUCCUGAUGAUAAAGCGGCUAUCAAUUAUCGUGUUUAUAGCCGAGGCAUCGACGAUUCUUUGAAUGGUGAGGUUAUUGAAUGCCCGUUGAUAACAAUAUAAUUGCUUUUAUAUCUAAAUAUAACCAAUCAAGAUGGUAAUCUUCAAUUGUUCAAUUUGAGCCCAGAAGAUACAUCUUCAGAUAGACGUAUAGAAAAAAUGUUAAUGAGAGCAAUUAGCGAUGAAUCUCGUUAAAAAAAUAAUAACGUCAUGUUCUAGCUGAGCAAUAAACUCCUCGUUAAAUUUAAAUACUGCAUUUAUGUUAAAUACAUAUUAUAAAUAUAUUUAAAAAUUCGUUACUGCUAA